GAUGAACGCUGGCGGCGUGCUUAACACAUGCAAGUCGAACGGAAAGGCCCAAGCUUGCUUGGGUACUCGAGUGGCGAACGGGUGAGUAACACGUGGGUGAUCUGCCCUGCACUUCGGGAUAAGCCUGGGAAACUGGGUCUAAUACUGGAUAGGACCACUUCUUGGAUGGCGUGGUGGAAAGUUUUUUCGGUGUGGGAUGAGCUCGCGGCCUAUCAGCUUGUUGGUGGGGUAAUGGCCUACCAAGGCGUCGACGGGUAGCCGGCCUGAGAGGGUGUACGGCCACAUUGGGACUGAGAUACGGCCCAGGCUCCUACGGGAGGCAGCAGUGGGGAAUAUUGCACAAUGGGCGCAAGCCUGAUGCAGCGACGCCGCGUGGGGGAUGACGGCCUUCGGGUUGUAAACUCCUUUCGCUAGGGACGAAGCGUUUUUGUGACGGUACCUGGAGAAGAAGCACCGGCUAACUACGUG
rnacentral:rRNA from 1 species